UGCGGUCAGACUAGAGUAAAACUCAACAGGGUCUUCUUUCCCCGCUGAUUUUUCCAAGCCCGUUCCCUUGGCUGUGGUUUCGCUAGAUAGUAGAUAGGGACAGUGGGAAUCUCGU